rnacentral:rRNA from 1 species
AUUGAACGCUGGCGGCAUGCUUUACACAUGCAAGUCGGACGAGUGGCGAACGGGUGAGUAAUAUAUUGGAACGUACCGAGUAAUGGGGGAUCAACAAUCGAAAGAUUGGCUAAUACCGGAUAUUAUUCACGCGGCCAAUAUCUGAUUAGCUAGUUGGUGGGGUAAAGGCCUACCAAGGCGACGAUCAGUAGCGGGGCUGAGAGGAUGAUCCGCCAACCUGGUACGGAGACACGGCCCAGACUCCUACGUGAGGCAGCAGUGGGGAAUUUUGGACAAUGGGCGCAAUCCUGAUCCAGCCAUGCCGCGUGUCUGAAGAAGGCCUUCGGGUUGUAAAGGACUUUUGUUAGGGAAGCGGUACCUAAAGAAUAAGCACCGGCUAACUACGUGCCAGCAGCCGCGGUAAUAC